rnacentral:rRNA from 1 species
GRCGCACGAAGGUUUCGGCCUUAGUGGCGGACGGGUGAGUAACGCGUAGGUAUCUAUCCAUGGGUGGGGGAUAACACUGGGAAACUGGUGCUAAUACCGCAUGACACCUGAGGGUCAAAGGCGCAAGUCGCCUGUGGAGGAGCCUGCGUUUGAUUAGCUAGUUGGUGGGGUAAAGGCCUACCAAGGCGAUGAUCAAUAGCUGGUUUGAGAGGAUGAUCAGCCACACUGGGACUGAGACACGGCCCAGACUCCUACGGGAGGCAGCAGUGGGGAAUAUUGGACAAUGGGGGCAACCCUGAUCCAGCAAUGCCGCGUGUGUGAAGAAGGUCUUCGGAUUGUAAAGCACUUUCGACGGGGACGAUGAUGACGGUACCCGUAGAAGAAGCCCCGGCUAACUUCGUGCCAGCMGCCGCGGUAAUWC